rnacentral:rRNA from 1 species
AGAGUUUGAUCCUGGCUCAGAACGAACACUGGCGGCGUGGAUUAGGCAUGCAAGUCGAACGGGAAAGCUCCCUUCGGGGAGUGAGUAUAGUGGCGAACGGGUGAGUAACGCGUGGGAAACCUGCCCUUCAGCGGGGGAUAACAGGCCUAACGGCCUGCUAAUCCGCAUACGUCCCUGGGAUCGCAUGGUCCCGGGAAGAAAGGUGGCCUCUCUUUAGAAGCUGCUACUGAAGGAUGGUCCCGCGUCCCAUUAGCUUGUUGGUGGGGUAAUGGCCUACCAAGGCGACGAUGGGUAGCCGGCCUGAGAGGGUGUCCGGCCACACUGGGACUGAGAUACGGCCCAGACUCCUACGGGAGGCAGCAGUCGAGAAGCUUCGGCAAUGGGCGAAAGCCUGACCGAGCGACGCCGCGUGGGUGAGGAAGGUCCUCGGAUCGUAAAACCCUGUCAGGAGGGACGAAAACCGGAUUGGUUAAUACCCUUUCCGCUUGACGGUACCUCUAGAGGAAGCUCCGGCUAACUCCGUGCCAGCAGCCGCGGUAACACGGAGGGAGCAAACGUUGUUCGGAAUCACUGGGCGUAAAGGGCGCGUAGGCGGCUUCUUAAGUCGGGGGUGAAAUCCUGUGGCUCAACCACAGGCCUGCCUCCGAAACUUCGAAGCUUGAGGCCGUGAGAGGAAAGCGGAAUUCCUGGUGUAUCGGUGAAAUGAGUUGAUAUCUGGAGGAACACCGGUGGCGAAGGCGGCUUUCUGGUACGGUUCUGACGCUGAGGUGCGAAAGCAUGGGAGCAAACGGGAUUAGAUACCCCGGUAGUCCAUGCCGUAAACGAUGAGAACUAGGUGUCGGGGGUAUCGACCCCCUCGGUGCCGAAGCUAACGCGAUGAGUACUCCGCCUGGGAACUACGGUCGCAAGACUAAAACUCAAAGGAAUUGACGGGGACCCGCACAAGCGGUGGAGCAUGUGGUUUAAUUCGAAGCAACGCGCAGAACCUUACCAGGGUUUGACAUAUACUUGACCGCCGUGGAAAUAGGUUUUCCUCUUUGGAGGCCGGGUGACAGGUGCUGCAUGGCUGUCGUCAGCUCGUGUCGUGAGAUGUUGGGUUAAGUCCCGCAACGAGCGCAACCCUUAUCCUUAGUUGCCAGCGAGUAAUGUCGGGAACUCUAGGGAGACUGCCUGUGUCAAGCAGGAGGAAGGUGGGGACGACGUCAAGUCAUCAUGGCCCUUAUGUCCAGGGCUACACACGUGCUACAAUGGCCGGUACAAAGGGCAGCAAUACCGCGAGGUGGAGCGAAUCCAAAAAGCCGGUCUCAGUUCGGAUUGGAGUCUGCAACUCGACUCCAUGAAGUUGGAAUCGCUAGUAAUCGCGUAUCAGCGUGACGCGGCGAAUACGUUCCCGGGCCUUGUACACACCG